UACGUAGGGGGCUAGCUUUGUCCGGAAUCAUUGGGCGUAAAGAGCGUGUAGGCGGCCCGGUAAGUCCGCUGUAAAAGUCAAAGGCUCAACCUUUGAAUGUCAGUGGAUACUGCCGGGCUAGAGUCCGGAAGAGGCGAGUGGAACUCCUGGUGUAGCGGUGGAAUGCGCAGAUAUCAGGAAGAACACCAACGGCGAAGGCAGCUCGCUGGGACGGUACUGACGCUGAGACGCGAAAGCGUGGGGAGCGAACAGG
rnacentral:rRNA from 1 species